GGGGAUUUAGCUCAGUGGUAGAGCGCUUGCCUAGCAAGUACAAGGCCCUGGGUUCGGUCCCCAGCUCCA
rfam:Rattus norvegicus chromosome 4, whole genome shotgun sequence.